ensembl:lncRNA
AGUAGAUCUAAAGCUGACCCGUGACCUGCCUCUGACACGCUGCAGACGCACAAAAACACACAAAGUUAAACUGCAGACACAAAGAAGACAAUGAAAGCAGAGCCAGCCGUUACCUUCUAGCAGAGCUGCAACUUCGUCCCAACAGGAGCUGAUCUGGGGAGCUUCAACCUGCAGCAGCUGCUUUAUAUGAAGCUCAGAGCAGAAGCAGCUGAUUGGAGCUGAUUGAUCAGAGACAGCAGCUGAUCGUCAAUGAAGCUCAGCUGCACAUUGUUGAAGCUCUGAGAUCAGUCUCACCUGCUGGAAGAUACAUUAAAAAAAAAAAAAAGAUCUCAACUGGAAAAUCCUCCUACAGUCCAACACUGAUGAAGAAAUGAGUCUGAAAACAUUCCUCUGCUGAAACACAAACAUGGAAAUCAGAGUCUGAAGGGACUGUUGAUGUUUUAUUGCUUCAACGAUGUGCAGCUGAGCUUCACUGAUGAUCAGCUGCUGUCUCUGAUCAAUCAGCUCCAAUCAGCUGCUUCUGCCCUGAGCUUCAUAUAAAGCAGCUGCUGCAGGUUGAAGCUCCAUAGAUCAGCUCCUGUUGGGACGAAGUUGCAGCUCUGCUAGAAGGUAAUGACUGGAUCUGCUCUCAUUGUCUUCUUUGUGUCUGCAGCUCAACUUAGUGUGUUUUUGUGUGUCUGCAGCACGUUGGAGGCAGGUCACGGCUCGGCUUUAGAUCUACUCACAAUCACAAUGAGGCUGUUGUGGAUUUCCUGUCUGCUGGUUGGAAGCAUCACCUGUCUGCCUGUACAAGAUUCUGGACUAGCAGCAGGCAGAGAACCAAACCCCAGAGGUUAUUAUCCGGGACCCUGGGUCAGCGGACCAACAAGUCCUGACCCGACCGUCCCCACUACAACCACCAAACCCGACCAGCAGCUCAAGUAUGUCUAUGGCGGCUAUCCAGGCGUCUAUGGCGGUUAUCCAGGCGUCUACAGCUACCAGAGCACUGACCAGACCUCUGACCAGACCCCUGAUGGGCCCUUCUUCACUGAUGUGUCCGAUCUGGAUCCAGUCUACAACUUCCACUCUCGGUCCCGCUACAGGAGAGGAAGAGCCCAUUUCUCUCAGACCCGCUACGUCCCCACUGACUCUCUGUACAGUCCAGUGUUCAGCUACCCAGGCUACCUGCCUCCACAGGGCUACCUUCCUCCAAAGGGUGACCAAGUUCAAGUCAAAGCCUACUGAACAUGUUGGAGGUGGGGCUCUGAGCUCAUGAAUUGUUCUAUGGAUUUGCUGCCACCUGACUGUUGCAGGUCUCCAUGUUCUAGAAGUUCUACUGCUGCUUCUAACUGUACAAGAUUUAAUAAAUGAUUUUCAGAACUAGC